rnacentral:rRNA from 1 species
UACGUAGGGUGCGAGCGUUGUCCGGAAUUACUGGGCGUAAAGAGCUCGUAGGUGGUUUUGUCGCGUUGUUCGUGAAAACCUGAGGCUUAACCUUGGGCGUGCGGGCGAUACGGGCAGACUGGAGUACUGCAGGGGAGACUGGAAUUCCUGGUGUAGCGGUGGAAUGCGCAGAUAUCAGGAGGAACACCGGUGGCGAAGGCGGGUCUCUGGGCAGUAACUGACGCUGAGGAGCGAAAGCGUGGGUAGCAAACAGG